rnacentral:rRNA from 1 species
CCUUCGGAAGCGAGCGUACACAGGUGCUGCAUGGCUGUCGUCAGCUCGUGUCGUGAGAUGUUGGGUUAAGUCCCGCAACGAGCGCAACCCUCGUGUUUAGUUGCUAACAGUUCGGCUGAGAACUCUAAACAGACUGCCUACGCAAGUAGGAGGAAGGUGAGGACGACGUCAAGUCAUCAUGGCCCUUACGGCCAGGGCUACACACGUGCUACAAUGGGGUAUACAAAGAGCAGCGAUACGGUGACGUGGAGCAAAUCUAGAAAAUGCCUCUCAGUUCGGAUUGUAGUCUGCAACUCGACUACAUGAAGUUGGAAUCGCUAGUAAUCGUAGAUCAGCAAUGCUACGGUGAAUACGUUCCCGGGUCUU